rnacentral:rRNA from 1 species
GUGCCAGCAGCCGCGGUGAUACGUAGGGGGCAAGCGUUGUUCGGAAUUACUGGGCGUAAAGGGCAUGUAGGCGGUUUUGUAAGCCUGGCGUGAAAUUCUGCAGCUUAACUGUAGGACUGCGCUGGGAACUGCGAGACUGGAGUCACGGAGAGGGAGCCAGAAUUCCAGGUGUAGGGGUGAAAUCUGUAGAUAUCUGGAAGAAUACCAAUGGCGAAGGCAGGCUUCUGGCCGAUGACUGACGCUGAGGUGCGAAAGCGUGGGUAGCAAACAGGAUUAGAUACCCUGGUAGUCCACGCGGUAAACGAUGCACACUAGGUGCCGGGGCGGACGCUUCGGUGCCGGAGCCAACGUGGUAAGUGUGCCGCCUGGGGAGUAUGCUCGCAAGGGUGAAACUCAAAGGAAUUGACGGGGGCCCGCACAAGCGGUGGAGCAUGUGGUUUAAUUCGAUGGUACGCGAGGAACCUUACCUGGGCUUGACAUAUGGAGGGAUGCGGUAGAGAUACCGCAGCCGGGCAACCGGCCUUCAUACAGGUGCUGCAUGGCUGUCGUCAGCUCGUGCCGUGAGGUGUUGGGUUAA